rnacentral:rRNA from 1 species
UACGUAGGGUGCAAGCGUUAAUCGGAAUUACUGGGCGUAAAGCGUGCGCAGGCGGUUAUGUAAGACAGAUGUGAAAGCUCAGGGCUUAACCCUGAAAUGGCAUUGAAUACUACUGUGCUGGAGGUUUGGAGGGGGGACUGGAAUUCUUGGUGUAGCAGUGAAAUGCGUAGAUAUCAAGAGGAACACCAGUGGCGAAGGCGAGUCCCUGGACAACACCUGACACUGAGGCACGAAAGCUAGGGGAGCAAACGGG